rnacentral:lncRNA from 1 species
UCUUCUUCAACUUCUUUUAAAAUUUUCAUUUAAAUAAUUAUUCUCAACUCAGUUUUUACCCAGAUUUCACUAUUUUUACCCAAAAACACAACGAAGAGGAAUAGAAAAAAUAAAAUUUUGUACAAUAUCAUGUUCUCAAACAGAAAUUUCAAAUCUCUAAAAUUAUAGCUGCAAGAAUUCACCAUUGAUGGUCAUUAUAAAGCUUCAAAUUUUGAAUUCAUUAUAUGAAUUUUACGAAUUUGUGAUUAGUUUGGAUGUGUUAAUUGAUCCUACAAAUAAUUGAAAAUGCCGUAUAUCUCUAUUUUAAGAGAAUUUGGUUAAGUUUAUAAUUGAUUUUAGGAGAAAUAUAAGAUUGAAACUCGAAAUAGGUGAAGUUUAUGGAACUGUAUCACAAUUGUAUUAAAGUUGUAUUAAACAUGUUUUAUAAUUGUAUUAAAAUCAUGAACAAUACAUUUAUAAUACAUAUUGCAAACUUUACUCUCUUCUUAGUGAUACCAACACAAUGAUUUAGGUAACACACUUAUAAUACAUUUAUAAUACAUGCACACUACAUUUUAAUACAUAUUGCAAACAUCACUCAUGUUCCUAAUGAUACAAACCAAAAUAAUUUAUGAGACACAUAUAAUACAUGUUUUAUUCAUGAAUAAUACAAGUUUAAUUCAAUUUAUAAAUUAUUGUCUUGUCUUUCGUUAGUUACGUUUUUCAUUUAUUCAUAAUUUUCUCUUCUAAUUCAAUUUUCAUAUUGUGUAAUACACUUUUAAU